GAUGAACGCUGGCGGCGUGCCUAAUACAUGCAAGUCGAGCGAACAGAUGAGGAGCUUGCUCCUCUGACGUUAGCGGCGGACGGGUGAGUAACACGUGGAUAACCUACCUAUAAGACUGGGAUAACUUCGGGAAACCGGAGCUAAUACCGGAUAAUAUAUUGAACCGCAUGGUUCAAUAGUGAAAGACGGUUUUGCUGUCACUUAUAGAUGGAUCCGCGCCGCAUUAGCUAGUUGGUAAGGUAACGGCUUACCAAGGCAACGAUGCGUAGCCGACCUGAGAGAGUGAUCGGCCACACUGGAACUGAGACACGGUCCAGACUCCUACGGGAGGCAGCAGUAGGGAAUCUUCCGCAAUGGUCGAAAGCCUGACGGAGCAACGCCGCGUGAGUGAUGAAGGUCUUCGGAUCGUAAAACUCUGUUAUUAGGGAAGAACAAAUGUGUAAGUAACUAUGCACGUCUUGACGGUACCUAAUCAGAAAGCCACGGCUAACUACGUG
rnacentral:rRNA from 1 species